UACGGAGGAUGCGAGCGUUAUCCGGAUUUAUUGGGUUUAAAGGGUGCGUAGGCGGAAGGUUAAGUCAGCGGUCAAAUGUCGGUGCUCAACACCGGCCUGCCGUUGAAACUGGUCUUCUUGAGUGAGCGAGAAGUAUGCGGAAUGCGUGGUGUAGCGGUGAAAUGCAUAGAUAUCACGCAGAACUCCGAUUGCGAAGGCAGCAUACCGGCGCUCAACUGACGCUGAGGCACGAAAGCGUGGGGAUCGAACAGG
rnacentral:rRNA from 1 species